rnacentral:rRNA from 1 species
GACGAACGCUGGCGGCGUGCUUAACACAUGCAAGUCGAACGGAAAGGCCCUGCUUUUGUGGGGUGCUCGAGUGGCGAACGGGUGAGUAACACGUGAGUAACCUGCCCUUGACUUUGGGAUAACUUCAGGAAACUGGGGCUAAUACCGGAUAGGAGCUCCUGCUGCAUGGUGGGGGUUGGAAAGUUUCGGCGGUUGGGGAUGGACUCGCGGCUUAUCAGCUUGUUGGUGGGGUAGUGGCUUACCAAGGCUUUGACGGGUAGCCGGCCUGAGAGGGUGACCGGCCACAUUGGGACUGAGAUACGGCCAAGACUCCUACGGGAGGCAGCAGUGGGGAAUAUUGCACAAUGGGCGGAAGCCUGAUGCAGCAACGCCGCGUGCGGGAUGACGGCCUUCGGGUUGUAAACCGCUUUCGCCUAUGACGAAGCGUGAGUGACGGUAAUGGGUAAAGAAGCACCGGCUAACUACGUG